CGCCUGCUGCCUUUGGACUAUGGCCCCCUUUUAAAAGACUUUAUUUUUGCCUGCAGAAAAGCUGUAUUCGUGCUUUUCUGCCUGGGGUUCAGUCGAUUUGUUUGAAUGUGUUAUACCCCAGAUAGGAAUCCCAUGGAGCCCAUUUGUAUGAAACUGACUGUAAAGACUUUGGCUCCAUGGCGAUUAAACUGUAUUCGUGUGGUCUGAGCGCCAUUCACUUAAUAAUGUGCGCUCAGACCUGAGCUAUCUGGGGAUAUGUUAC